AACGCACAUUGCGCUUUCUGGCAUUCCGGAGAGCAUGCCUGUUUCAGAAUCGUGAAGUCUCUUUCCUGCCACCGAUUGAAAGCGGAUGCAAGCUUUUGAUUGCGGGGCGGGGAUGUGGAUGGCUUCUGCUCUGUCCCUGCCAAUCGGUCGAGGCCAGGCGCAGAUCAUCUGAAAGUCAGCGUGCCUUGUCGAUCUUGGACGGUGUCGACGUUGUUCAAGUGCAACAGAUGCCUUGUUUUACAUUUGGAUGCGUCUGCUCCGUCGAGGUCGGCUGCCGCCCCCCCCCCAACACAGAAUUCUGUCAGUGCGAUCUGAAAUCAGGCAAGAAAACCCGCUGAACUUAA
rnacentral:misc_RNA from 1 species